rnacentral:rRNA from 1 species
ACGGAAGGCAGCAGUGAGGAAUAUUGGUCAAUGGGCGGAAGCCUGAACCAGCCAAGUCGCGUGAAGGAUGAAGGUAUUAUGUAUUGUAAACUUCUUUAGCCAGGGGGCAAUAAGGCGUACGCGUACGCCGAUGAGAGUACCUGGAGAAUAAGGAUCGGCUAACUCCGUGCCAGCAGCCGCGGUAAUACGGAGGAUCCGAGCGUUAUCCGGAUUUAUUGGGUUUAAAGGGUGCGCAGGCGGCUUUUUAAGUCAGUGGUUAAAUCGUGACGCUCAACGUCAUCACGCCAUUGAUACUGGAGAGCUUGAUUGCGGUCGAGGUUUGCGGAAUUCGUCGUGUAGCGGUGAAAUGCAUAGAUAUGACGAAGAACUCCGAUUGCGUAGGCAGCUGACCAAGCCGUAAAUGACGCUCAUGCACGAAAGUGCGGGGAUCGAACAGGAUUAGAUACCCUGGUA